UACGUAGGGACCAAGCGUUGUUCGGAUUUACUGGGCGUAAAGGACGCGUAGGCGGCGUGACAAGUCACUUGUGAAAUCUCUGGGCUUAACCCAGAACGGCCAAGUGAAACUGUUGUGCUAGAGUGCAGAAGGGGCAAUCGGAAUUCUCGGUGUAGCGGUGAAAUGCGUAGAUAUCGAGAGGAACACCAGAGGUGAAGACGGGUUGCUGGGCUGACACUGACGCUGAUGCGCGAAAGCUAGGGGAGCAAACGGG
rnacentral:rRNA from 1 species